rnacentral:rRNA from 1 species
CCUACGGGCGGCAGCAGUGGGGAAUAUUGGACAAUGGGCGAAAGCCUGAUCCAGCCAUGCCGCGUGUGUGAAGAAGGCCUUCGGGUUGUAAAGCACUUUCAGUGGGGAAGAAAGCCUUGGGGCUAAUACCCUCGAGGAAGGACAUCACCCACAGAAGAAGCACCGGCUAACUCCGUGCCAGCAGCCGCGGUAAUACGGAGGGUGCGAGCGUUAAUCGGAAUUACUGGGCGUAAAGCGCGCGUAGGCGGUCUGAUAAGCCGGUUGUGAAAGCCCCGGGCUCAACCUGGGAACGGCAUCCGGAACUGUCAGGCUAGAGUGCAGGAGAGGAAGGUAGAAUUCCCGGUGUAGCGGUGAAAUGCGUAGAGAUCGGGAGGAAUACCAGUGGCGAAGGCGGCCUUCUGGACUGACACUGACGCUGAGGUGUGAAAGCGUGGGUAGCAAACAGGAUUAGAUACCCCUGUAGUC